GUCCUUAUUUCGGCAGCACAUAUACUAAAAUUGGAAAUAUACAGAGAAGAUUAGCAUGGCCCCUGUGAUAACCCACAGCUUUCCAUAAAAAAAAAACCCUCAAAUUUU